rnacentral:rRNA from 1 species
CCUACGGGAGGCAGCAGUGGGGAAUAUUGCACAAUGGGGGAAACCCUGAUGCAGCGACGCCGCGUGAGUGAAGAAGUAUUUCGGUAUGUAAAGCUCUAUCAGCAGGAACGAGACAAGACGGUACCUGACUAAGAAGCCCCGGCUAACUACGUGCCAGCAGCCGCGGUAAUACGUAGGGGGCAAGCGUUAUCCGGAAUCACUGGGUGGAAAGGGAGCGUAGACGGCUGUGCAAGCCUGAAGUGAAAGGCGGGGGCCCAACCCCCGGACUGCUUUGGGAACUGUACGGCUGGAGUGCAGGAGAGGUAAGUGGAAUUCCUAGUGUAGCGGUGAAAUGCGUAGAUAUUAGGAGAAACACCAGUGGCGAAGGCGGCUUACUGGACUGUAACUGACGUUGAGGCUCGAAAGCGUGGGGAGCAAACAGGAUUAGAUACCCGUGUAGUC